rnacentral:lncRNA from 9 species
GCUGACACACCAACCCGCACGCCAUCCAGCUGCGGCUGGCUUGCCCGGAACAGGCCAGAAAACGGAGGCCAGGGGCCACCCAGCCUGGCGUCUCUGUGGUUGAGCUGAAGGAGGCCCUUUGCAAAGCUUGGUGAGAAGCCUGGAGUCGGCACCAGAGACAGACGUCGAGAGAAUGAAUCCAGCCGGAGAUCGUGCGGGCCGAGGUCCCUGACUCACCACUCCGCGCUGGUGAAUGGGCUCAGACAUGACUGCUGCGUCACAUGACAUCUGUCUGUCACACUGCAAAUCCGUCCCCAGCUCUAGCUCCCACCACGGGGACUGGAGGCAGGAGGAGCCGACGGGCCCCUGGAACGGCCGCGGUGCGUCCAGAGGUGGGAGCCGCAAGCCCGAGGAUCGGCCGAGUCCCAGGGGACCCUAACGGAGGCCGGGCUGGAAGGCCAAGGUGGCUGCCACGUGGGAAGGUAUCCUUGACGUCCAGGUGAGUGUCCUGGGAGCAUCUGGGGGCUUGAAACUGGCCCCUAGGCCCAAGCAUGGGGGCAGAUCCAUCCCAGGACAAUGGCGAGGCCUGUGCUAAGGGGCCGGGUGGGGCUGGCAGGGCCCAGCCAUGGGCAGCAGCCCAAGAGGGGCACCCAGGGCUGGGACUCAGGACACAAAGAAGCCACUCCCUGUUUUCAGCAUAAUGUAACACGCCCCUGGUGGGGGGGCUACAGGGUGACCAGCCCUGGAGAGGGGGUUGCCCAGGGCAUCAGCGCGCUCCAGAGGCCUGAGUGCCACCCAGUGGACCCCCAGGGGCCUGCCCGGCCCCUCGGGGGAGGAACGUCAAGGGAGGGGCCUGGGAACUCAGGGGGCCCCAAAGCCUGGCGUCCAGGGAGCAGACAGAGGAUGGAGCCUGAACAAAGGUCCCUUCUGGGACCAGGCCUGGAAGGCGAGGCCAGAGCGGUCAGGGAGGAGGGGAGACGCCUAAGAGAACUCGAGGCUAAACCCACGGGGGGGAGAAGGAGCCCCUGGGCGCCACGCCUUCAGGAACGCCCGAGGCCACCUGCUGGGGGAGCUGGGGGAGGAUUAGAUACAAUCCUGAUUAAAUACAAUCCUGGUGUAAACCUCAAGCCUUCUCGCCCAGACCCUGGAGAAGGAUCGGGAGCCACCACCCAAAGCAACUGUCCAGGAAAAGUGGUCGCGCUUCAGCCAUCGCGCUGGGCUAGGUCUUCCAAGCGAACCCCCUGUUGGAGCCUCUGCCGUCUAACGUCACCUAAUGUAGCCGAACCUGCCAAGACCCUGGCUACUUCACUGGAACCCAGACCAGGGCGAUCCCCGAGUGUUGCGAGCCCACCUUCCUCUUCCUCGACGGUGGCUCCAGCCCCUUCAUGUCGCCUCCAAGCUCCUGCCCAAGUGUUCCCACCCGCACUGCUGGGAGCAGCUCCUCUGUGUUUUCAGGGCCACUUUGCUGUCGUCCUUUGAAGGUUCUCUUGGCGACUCUAGGAAGACUCCGUGGUACAGGUGACCUUCUGUAUCUGUGGAGGAUCGGUUCCCAGAUACCCCCGCCCACGGAUCCCAAAAUCCCAGGAGCCAAGCCUUGUCUAAAGUGCCGGAGUGCAGCCUGGCCUCCAGAACGCGUGAGAACAGAGCAGCCGUACUCUGUUUCCAACGACCGAUGGCCAAAGCCCCGCUGUGCGUGUUCUCUAUGGACUGAACAGCCAGUGGCCCUGUAGCAGUGAAGCCUCACACCGUCCUCCAGGCUGGAAGGGACCCUUGAGUCACAGAACUUGCCAGUUUGCAAACAUGUCUCUAGUUGUAACAACUUUCAUCUGUCAAAUGAGGGCUCUUCAUUUCUAAGGUUCUAGAAGCCGGCCGUGGUCAUAUAGUCCCUCAGCUGGGUGUACUGAAAUCUGGGCCAGAGGCACAGCUUCCUCGCUAAGACACCCCCCCACCCCAGCACCCUGCACACACACACAGGCAGAGGCCAAGCUGCCUGCCUCCCCGCACCCCCUAGAAUGCUAACCACUGGGGACCGAGGGGUAGUUCCUACCUUUUAUAUCCUUACAUACUGAAUCUGGCGCUGGCUCCUGGGCUGCAUCUUCUUAACUGCAAACACUCUAUACCAUCCCUCUCUGGUUCCACCAGCCACCACCCUCCUUCCGUGUCCUCCUCUGAACGUGCCUGAUAAAGGCUUUUGAGUGACUGAAUGAGUGGACGGCUCCCAUCUUCUGUCAUCUCAAUGAGUGCUGCUCCCCAGCUGACUGGAACCAGACGCCCUAGUUCCCAGGCUGGGUUUCCCUCCAGAUGUGUUCUCCUGCGGUGUCGGUUCCACCGUUAAACAGCUGUAUCGCUCAGCAGGUACGCAACGUUGAUGCGCCUCCAUUUCCUCCUCUGCAGAAUUGUGGGCGUUCCUGUCGUGGCUCAGCAGAAUCCGGCUUGUAUCCACGAGGAUGCGGGUUCUAUCCCUGGCCUCGCUCGGUGAAUCUGGGAUCCAGCCUUGCCGUGAGCUGUGGUGUAGGCCGGAAGCUGUAGCUCCAAUUUGACCCCUAGCCUGGAAACUUCCAUAUGCUGAGGGUUCGGCCUUAAAAACAACAACAACAACAAAAUAGUACUUACGUCAUAGGGUUGCUGUCAGCAUUAAAUGAGAGAGUCUGUUAAAAACGCCGAGAACAUUGCCUGGCAAUAUACAUUGCAGAAUACUCAAUAAAUAUUAGCUGGUGUUAUUUCAUACUUCAUCAAAC